rnacentral:lncRNA from 1 species
GCCCGGUUUCCGAAAGGAUGAUCAUCUCAAAAAUUAUGUAAUCGACGAUUAACAAUAGAUUAAAUGCGUCAGAAACGUCAACCAAACUAGUUUUAACAACAGUCGAUUAACCAGUUUCGCUUGUCAAACGGCGGUAAAAAUGGACUGUUACCUAAUCUGCGACUAUCCGUCGAUUAACGGGCUGUUAAGAGUUUUUUUUAGUUUUUUAAUUACUGUAAUUAACAAAUACCGGGAAAAAAUUGUCAAAUAACACAUAUAUAAAUGAUAUAAAUCAUAUUAUUCAAUAAAAAUAAGAUUUUUUUAUGGAAGAAAUAAUUUAAAAUAUUUAUUUAACUUGCAGGACAUGGAUAUUUCGGACAUUUUUUAUAUUUGAUUAUAUAAUUUAUAUUUUUUUCUUUUAAAAAUGUAAGAUAACAAGGAUGCUAGACUCAUAGAGCUAUUUUUUGAGAGGCCAGAGCUCUAAAAAGCAGAACAUAAUGAUUAUAGCGAUGUAAAUAAGAGGGAAAACGUGUGAGAAAUUAUAGCAGCUAACUUUGAAGACAAUAAAACAGCCGGUAAAUAAAUUAAAAAUAAAUAUAAAAAGUAAAUAUAUAGACCAAAAA